CGGUGUUUAACUGGCGUGAUGUGGGACGUCCUACCGGUGGGCUUAGCCUCGCGAGGGGCGGCCCAACUAAUAUCCCGUCGCGGUGCUCUUUACUGAGUGUCGAGUCGGGCCGGUACGUUUACUUUGAACAAAUUAGAGUGCUUAAAGCAGGCUAUCCUCGCCUGAAUACUGCGUGCAUGGAAUAAUGGAAUAGGACCUCGGUUCUAUUUUGUUGGUUUUCGGAACCCCGAGGUAAUGAUUAAUAGGGACAGAUGGGGGCAUUCGUAUUGCGACGUUAGAGGUGAAAUUCUUGGAUCGUCGCAAGACGGACAGAAGCGAAAGCAUUUGCCAAAAAUGUUUUCAUUAAUCAAGAACGAAAGUUAGAGGUUCGAAGGCGAUCAGAUACCGCCCUAGUUCUAACCAUAAACGAUGCCAGCUAGCGAUCCGCCGAAGUUCCUCCGAUGACUCGGCGGGCAGCUUCCGGGAAACCAAAGCUUUUGGGUUCCGGGGGAAGUAUGGUUGCAAAGCUGAAACUUAAAGGAAUUGACGGAAGGGCACCACCAGGAGUGGAGCCUGCGGCUUAAUUUGACUCAACACGGGAAACCUCACCAGGCCCAGACACCGGAAGGAUUGACAGAUUGAUAGCGCUUUCUUGAUUCGGUGGGUGGUGGUGCAUGGCCGUUCUUAGUUGGUGGAGCGAUUUGUCUGGUUAAUUCCGAUAACGAACGAGACUCUAGCCUGCUAAAUAGGCGUACCUUAUGGUAUCGCGAAGGCCCCCGGCUUCGGCCGGUGGGUUUUUACUACCAACGUACAAACAAAUCUUCUUAGAGGGACAGGCGG
rnacentral:rRNA from 1 species